rnacentral:misc_RNA from 1 species
AUCUACAGGAACAUACUGGCAAUCUGAAAUUAGUCCCAUAACUUGUCCCACAACAUUGAAGACCACACCACUUUUCUGUUGAGAACCAGAAGAGUAAUACAAGUACAUUCUCUUAUCAAGGACACAAGUCCGUGCAUGUUCUACAGUUACUUCCCACAUCUUAGCAGACAUUCCGGCGCCAAGAACAUGACGAAGCCUUUGAGGGUCCAUGAAGAGCUGAGUCAGGAAAUCCUUCACAUUGUUG